AGAGUGAGUUAAUCCUAGUUUGAAAUGUCAUUUAGGACUUAUGAGAAAGUUUGGGCUGUGCAAGAGAGAAAAACAAAUGACCAAAGUGAACAAAGAGCCAUUUCUAGGGUAAAUUUGGGUGUUGAGGAGUCAAAUUUUGAUUCGGUGAAAUUUUAGGUGUAAAUCCAGUUUGAACAAGUCUAAAUUGAUGUUAUAGACUUGUGUGAGGUGAGAGUUUGCUUC
rnacentral:lncRNA from 1 species